rnacentral:rRNA from 1 species
UACGUAGGGUGCGAGCGUUAAUCGGAAUUACUGGGCGUAAAGCGUGCGCAGGCGGUUCGUUGUGUCCGUCGUGAAAGCCCCGGGCUUAACCUGGGAACUGCGAUGGAAACUAGCGAGCUGGAGUGUGGCAGAGGGGGGUGGAAUUCCGCGUGUAGCAGUGAAAUGCGUAGAGAUGUGGAGGAACACCGAUGGCGAAGGCAGCCCCCUGGGCCAAUACUGACGCUCAUGCACGAAAGCGUGGGGAGCAAACAGG